GGCGAGAGUAAAAUAAACGCUAUUUCAAGAAGUAAAAAGGAAAUUAAGGAGCCUUUCACCCACUUCUACCGAAGGAUGCACGAACAAGUGUCUGCUCUACACUUUAUACUACGUCAAGGAGAAGGCCACCACUAUCGUGAAGAGGAAAGGUAGCUCAACUAGAAAGACGAUUAAUAGUUACAACGUUGAAACUCGACGAAGUUACCAGAGGAUCGCUGAACCGAACCAGAAUCGGCAAAGGGUUAACUUCCAGCGACCGAAUAUUCAAGUGACGCUCGAAGAGGAGGAAAACUCUUUGCUCUCGUCGAAUCUUGGAGCGCUAUAAAUUCCUGGCGGGCGGAGCUAUGCGCGUCCAGGAGGUGUAAGUUCCCGAAAAUUGAUCACGAAAGCAUCCGAAGAGGGCAGGCGUCCCUGACCGAGUGCCUUCGGACGCAGAAUCCCAAAACUGAGCGCUUCCGAACGAACGACCAGGAUCUUUUGGGUCAGAGAGUCGUAUAUCUUGUCGGACGACAAUGCCAGAGUCAGUCACCCACUCGCCCGGUUGGACCCACCUCGAUAUAGACGCGUCCGUCGAAAUCUGCCUCAGGUGGAGGCUGGAUUGACGUUCCCUCGGCCGUUUUUAAAUUUCUCAUCCGCGAACGAGGCUGCUAAUCCAGAACUGCAUCCAUCUAUUAAAGGAGACUUUGAAGAUCGUU